rnacentral:lncRNA from 1 species
UGCGAUUUAAAACUUAAAACAUGUGUAUAUGAAGAGUGAAUAUACCGAAAUAAAGAAGAUCUUGAGAAUCUUAAAACCAGCUAAAAAGAUCUUGAGAAUCAUACUAGAAUAUUGAAAAAAGGAGAUUCAAGUAAGACUACAUGGAAAAAAUCAUGAACCAAGCUAAACCCUUUCUCAAAAAAAAUAAAAAAAAUAAAAAAAAUAAAAAGAUUAUGAACCAAGGAAGGAUUCCAAACAUUCAUAAGACCUUGGGGCUUAGACCGAGUUGGAGAAGAACGUGUUUCUCCUUUGAACCUUGGAGAUCCUUU